rnacentral:rRNA from 1 species
AUUGAACGCUGGCGGCAUGCUUUACACAUGCAAGUCGAACGGUAACAGGGAGCUUGCUCCGCUGACGAGUGGCGAACGUGUGAGUAAUGCGUCGGAACGUGCCGAGUAGUGGGGGAUAACGCAGCGAAAGUUGUGCUAAUACCGCAUACGUACUGAGGUAGAAAGUGGGGGACCUUCGGGCCUCACGCUAUUCGAGCGGCCGACGUCUGAUUAGCUAGUAGGUGAGGUAAAGGCUCACCUAGGCGACGAUCAGUAGCGGGUCUGAGAGGAUGAUCCGCCACACUGGGACUGAGACACGGCCCAGACUCCUACGGGAGGCAGCAGUGGGGAAUUUUGGACAAUGGGCGAAAGCCUGAUUCAGCCAUGCCGCGUGUCUGAAGAAGGCCUUCGGGUUGUAAAGGACUUUUGUCGGGGAGGAAAUCCCCAGCGCUAAUACCGCUGGGGGAUGACAGUACCUGAAGAAUAAGCACCGGCUAACUACGUGCCAGCCGCCGCAGUAA